rnacentral:rRNA from 1 species
UACGUAGGGUGCGAGCGUUGUCCGGAAUUAUUGGGCGUAAAGGGCUCGUAGGCGGUUUGUCGCGUCGGGAGUGAAAUCCACUGGCUUAACUGGUGGCUUGCUUUCGAUACGGGCAGACUGGAGGUAUGCAGGGGAGAACGGAAUUCCUGGUGUAGCGGUGAAAUGCGCAGAUAUCAGGAGGAACACCGGUGGCGAAGGCGGUCUCUGGGCCGUAUGCCUCUGAGGAGC